GGCUACAGCCUAAGCGGCAGUCUCCUCCCUCCUUCCCUCCCUCCCGGGUUCCCUCCCUCCUUCCCUCUCCGCUCUCCUCCCUCCUCCCGCUCUCUUUCCCCCCUCCCCCCUCCGAACCCCGGCGCAAGGGGGGAAUUAGAAACUGCUCUAGAAGGAUUUUAAACAACUGGCUGUUCUCUCUGCCGCCGCCCCUCCCCCCGCGCCGCCCGCGCUCGGCUCCUCACUGGAGAGAAGGAGCCGGGAGGAGGGGAAAGUGCGGCCUGGAAUCGCUGGUAGGAGCCGGCGGAGCUGGAGCCGUGGCGGCCCCAGACUUUGGGGCGCCCGCCGAGUACACAGACAGACAUACGGCCCCAGCUUUCGUGGGAGCCCCCACCAGCCCCCUCUCCUGCUCCUCUCCUGUCUGUGACCCCGCGCCAGUACCCUGGAUUGAUCUCUACAGCCCUCAGCCGUUCUCCCUGGGGUGUCGACCCCCCUCCCCCGUCCCCCCACCACGCCCUGCUCCCAGAGGGCCGCAGGCAGGGGACACACGCGCAGUUCCCUGGACCUUCUGUUUGAGCGACCCAGAGCGUCUCGCCUUCCCUCGUGGAUAGAGAUUGUCCCUCCCGCCCUCGGCGGGCGCCGCUGGGGUGGCGUCGCCUCGCCCCCGGGGCCGCACCCUGCUUCCCUGGGGAACACCCUGCCUCAGGCCUGCCUCCCCUCUUUAGAGUGAUUUGGUGGUGGAGACAUGACAUUCAUGGACUCAGAAGAACAGGAAGGAGUGAUGCUGACCUCCAGGACUUUCCAGAUAUCUUCCCAGUGACAUGGGCUCUUCCUGACUUAGAAAACUUCUGUUCAGAGAGAUGCAAUAGAGGAUGUAAUGUGGAGUCCUUUCCAGCAUUUUCCUUAACCCUGUCUAUUCAGAAAGUAUUCUGCCAUUACCAGGAUGCUUCUUUGGGCUUAGGGAAUACAGACCUGGGAGAAAGAGGAUUGGAGAAGAAAAAAGUCUUCUGGGAUGUGGCUAGGAAAAAGUUUUACGUAACUGGGAGAAGAGAAUUCUGGAAAACCUACAGGAUGAUGCCAAUAGGAAUGCAAAAGAUUUAAACAAAAAUAGUUCUGUAGGCUAUGUAUUGAUAGCAUGGUGUUUGAGAGAGGCAGUAUUUAAAUUAUUUUGAGAUUACCUUUGUCACUGGGUCAGGUUUCUUGGACAAGAUGACACCCUGAGAGUGGACCCCCUGAGUUUCAGCCUCAGUACAAUUACUUUGGGGAUGAUGAAUACAGAUAAAUUUGUCUUACUACACAGUUCUCCUGCUGCCAGAGCCCAACUGACUUCUGAAGCUUAUAUCCAGGAGCCCCAGAGUCAUUGUUGAUACAGGACUCCUUGUAUGACUCUGAUCUCCUGCUCUUGGUAAAACUUCUUCACCCUUGUCUACCAGCUCCAUCCUGCAUCUCUUUCCUUAUAGGGUUUUAGGAGAUUCAUAAAGCCCUUUUAGGGCUUUUUUAAAGCCCUUUUAGGAGGCUAAAAGCCAUUAUGGAGUAAGUAGGAGUUUGUUUGCUUUUUUUUUCUUUUUGGCCUGAAUUGUUAAUCUGUCAUUUACACAUUGUUUCUAUGGGAAAAAUGUGUUCUCAUUUCCAAACAAUGAAUGUAUAUAAAGAUUUUUAAAAGACAACCCAAUGUAGGUCUAUGGCUGCCUUUUAAUGCCUCUUGGGUUAUACUGGUGUUGGUUUGACUUCAUUUUUAUUUCUAAAGAACAGACUUACUAUUUAUAGUUUUUUAAAUAUGCGUAUGUAGAUAUGCAUAUAAAUAAGACUAUUGAAUAUGCACAAAGAUGCUAAUAAUAAUUAUCUUUGGGUGGUCAUAUUAUAACUGGUAGUUUCUUCUCUAUAUCUUUAUUUUUUUUCCCUAAUGAGAAAACAGUGAGGAUUUUUUUCAUUUUUUAAGCAAAUAGGGUUGGAAAAUAAAAUUUAUAACAGCAUCCAAAAAAACAUUGUAAACAUUUGGAGAUAAUUUAAUAAAAGAAGUACAAAAUUUCUGUGCUGAAAAAAUAUACAAUACUGCUGAAAAAAUUGAAAAAAAAAAAAAAAGACCUAACUAGAGAUUAACAUGUUUAGGGAUUACAUUCAAUAUUGUCAAGAUGUCAGUUCUCACCAAAGUGAUCCAUAGACUCAGUGCAACCCCAAUCAAAAUUCCAUGGGGCUUUUUUGUAGAAAUUGGCAUGCUAAUUCUAAAAUAUAUAUAGAAAACCAAAGGACCUAGAAUAGACAAAGCAAUUUUGGGCAGGAAAAAUAACAAAGUUGGAAGACUUAAUCUACUGGAUUUUUAUUUCAAAACUUACUUUAAAGUUAUAAUAAUCAAAAUGGAGUAGUAAUGACAAAAGGUAAAACAGAUAAAUCUUCAGAAGACAAUAGAGAAGUUCAGAAAUAGACUCACAAUUAUAGGGUCAAAUGAUUUUCAACAAGCGUGCCAAAGAAAUACAGUGGUAUGGUUAAAAGGAUGGUUUUGUUCAGCGAAUAAUUCUGAGACAAUUGGAUACCUGUAUAUGCAAAAAAACAAAAAAACAAAAAAACCUGUACCCCUAUCUCACAUCAUACACAAAAAACUAAUUCAAGAUGCAUCAUAGACCUAAACAUAUAAGGGAAAAUCUUUGCAAUGAUGGGUGGGCAAAGAUAGGCCAGGGAAAGCACUAAUUGUUAAAGGGAAAUAUCAAUAAGUUUGACUUUAUCAAAGUCAAAAACAAACCCCUCUGCUCAUCAGAAAACACUGUUAGGAAAACAAAUAGUCUACAGAAUAAAAGAAAAUAUUCACAACACAUGUAUUUGGCUGAAGGCUUACAUGCAUAAUACAUAAAGCAUAUCUACAACUUAAUAAUAAAAAGAUAACACACUUAAAGAAUAGGCAAAAGACUUGGACAUGUCACAAAGAUGACUUAUAAAUGGCCAAUAAGUACAUGAAAAUAUGGUCAACAUCAUUAAUAAAAUGCCAAGUAAAAUCCACUGAUAUACUGGUAUGGAUCCACUAAAAUAUCUUAAGAUUUAAAAGAUUGACAACAUUCAGUUUCAGCCAUGAUAGGGAGUAGCAGGAAUUGCCAUGAGUGCUGGUAAGAGUAUAGAGUGGUACAACUACUCUGAAAAAUUGUAUGGUAUCUCUUAUGAAGUUAAAUAUAUAUUGUCUCUGUGAUACAGCAGUUCUACUCCUGAGUGUGUUUAUCCAAGAGAAUUUUUUUUUUAAAUAUGUUCACAAAAGACUUGUGCUAUAUUCAUAGCAGCUUUAUUCAUUAAAGCCAAAAAAAGUGGAAACAACUCAAAGGGGAAGCUCUUCCUGAUGAGAUCUCUCUGUUGUCAUGUCAUCUUGCAUGAAUCGCCUUGCCCUUACCAUCCUUCAAUUUAUACUCUCAGAACACACUAGUCUCUGUCACGUUAUGCUUCUGAAAGUGCAAUUCCAUCUGCCCAGAA